CACGUAGGGAGCAAGCGUUGUCCGGAUUUAUUGGGCGUAAAGAGCUCGUAGGCUGUUCGAUAAGUCGGGUGUGAAACCUCCAGGCUCAACCUGGAGACGCCACCCGAUACUGUCAUGACUAGAGUCCGGUAGGGGAGCGUGGAAUUCCUGGUGUAGCGGUGAAAUGCGUAGAUAUCAAGAGGAACACCUGCGGCGAAGGCGGGUUGCUGGGCCGACACUGACGCUGAGGCGCGAAAGCCAGGGGAGCGAACGGG
rnacentral:rRNA from 1 species